UUGAGGCCAGGAGUUCAAGACCAGCCUGAGCAACAUAGUGAGACUUUGUCUCUAUAAAAAAUAAAUAAAUAAAUAAAAAGAACUUGUCCAAGGUCAGACAGCAAGCCAGAAUACCCAUCUCCUGUCUCAGAAAUGAUGAGAAAUAAUAAAUAUAUGUGCUCACACAUAUUACCAUCUAAUUUUCUACAUUAUAUGUUAUAGAACAGUUCCAUCAUCAAAGAAACUUCUAUUGAACAGUGCUAUUAUAUAAUGUCCUUGAGGUCAGGAGUUCAAGACCAGCCUGGCCGACAUGGUGAAACCCCGUCUCUAGUAAAAAUACAAAAAAUUAGCUAGGCGUGGUGGUGCAUGCCUGUAACCCCAGCUACUCAGGAGGCUGAGUUGGGAGAAUCACUGGAACCCAGGAGGCAGAAGUUGUAGUGAGCCAAGAUUGUGCCACUGCACUCUAGCCUGGGUGACAGAGCAAGACUCCAUCUCAAAAAAAAAGAAAAAAGAAAAAGAAAAAGUCAGAAACAUCUUGAGGCAGGCAUAGUGCUGUCAUCUGUCCAAUAUUGAAGAUGAUUUAAGAAUAAGAAAGAAGAGAACAAAGAAGAGACAAAGAAGUUGCCUUAGGUGUACCCACCCAGAAAAGGACAAAGGCAUUCUUGUAGUCAUUGUGUUGUAUUUUAGCUCUUAAACUUUUUAAGAGAUUAGAAUAAUUUGACACAUAGAAGAUCUAAACCACUGAAGAGGCUCUGAAGCAGAUAAAAGUAGAAAGAAAAUAAAAAACUAAUUAGUUACAAACUAAGCUUAACCACAAUUCAUUUAAACGAUACUAUUUACUCUUCACAUGAUUUUGAGCAAACCAGCCACAAAAGAUAUUUCAGGGAGACCAAGCUGGAAGGAUCACUUGAGGCCAGGAGUUUGAGACCAGCCUGGGCAAUGUAGUAAGACCUCCAUCUCUACAAAAACAAUAAAUUAGCUGGGCAUGGUGGUGUGCACCUAUAGUCCUAGCUACUCAGGAAGCUGAGGCAGGAAGAUCACUUGAGCCCAGGAGUUUGAGGCUGCAAUGAGCUAUGAUUGUUUCACUGCACUUCAGGCUGUGUGAAAGAGCAAGACUUUGUCUCAAAAAAUAAAAGGACAUUUCAUAAUAAUUGAGGAAAUCUGAAUGUGGACUGGGUAAUAAAUGAUAUAAAAAAACUAUUUUUUAUUCUGUUUGAAAAGAUGAUUUUGUAACCAUACAGGAAAAUGUUCUUAUUUUUUAGAAAUCUGCACUAAAUAAUUUAGGGGUAAAAUAUCAUUUUCUUUAAUAUACUUUCAAACACAAGCAAAAAAUAAUCAUGACACAAAUAUAGCAAAAUGUUUACAAUCAAUGUUCUAUG
rnacentral:lncRNA from 1 species